rnacentral:rRNA from 1 species
CAACCUGCCCACCACUUGGGGAUAACCUUGCGAAAGUAAGACUAAUACCCAAUGACGUCUCUAGAAGACAUCUGAAGGAGAUUAAAGAUUUAUCGGUGAUGGAUGGGGAUGCGUCUGAUUAGCUUGUUGGCGGGGUAACGGCCCACCAAGGCAACGAUCAGUAGGGGUUCUGAGAGGAAGGUCCCCCACAUUGGAACUGAGACACGGUCCAAACUCCUACGGGAGGCAGCAGUGAGGAAUAUUGGUCAAUGGACGAGAGUCUGAACCAGCCAAGUAGCGUGCAGGAUGACGGCCCUAUGGGUUGUAAACUGCUUUUAUAAGGGAAUAAAGUGAGUCUCGUGAGACUUUUUGCAUGUACCUUAUGAAUAAGGACCGGCUAAUUCCGUGCCAGCAGCCGCGGUAAUACGGAAGGUUCGGGCGUUAUCCGGAUUUAUUGGGUUUAAAGGGAGCGUAGGCCGGAGAUUAAGCGUGUUGUGAAAUGUAGACGCUCAACGUCUGCACUGCAGCGCGAACUGGUUUCCUUGAGUACGCACAAAGUGGGCGGAAUUCGUGGUGUAGCGGUGAAAUGCUUAGAUAUCACGAAGAACUCCGAUUG